AAAGUGAAUGGUGAAAUACUGGAGGCUCAACCUUACAGACUAUUAUUCAAACUCACUGACUCGAGAGUAGCAGAGGUAACUGGAAUUUCUGAAGUAGGGGUAAUAUCCGUAGAUAUCAGAAGGAACACCAAUGGCGUAGGCAGGUUACUGGGCUAUUUUCUGACACUGAGGCACGAAAGCGUGGGGAGCGAACCGGAUUAGAUACCCGGGUAGUCCACGCCGUAAACGAUGGAUCUA
rnacentral:rRNA from 1 species